AUGUUAACUAAACGGUGAACAUGGUAAACAUUAUGAGUGCAUGAUAGCGUGUUAGCAUUUAGCUCAAAGCACUGCUGUGCCUAUAUACAGCCUCACAGAGGCUAGAGACUCCAGGGCUGGGUUAUGCUAGAAAAGAACUAGGCAAAAUGUUUUUAGUUCUUCCACAAUAUAAUUUAAAUACGGGGAUAACAGCGUACAUCCAGACAGUCUCUCCUGGAGGACAUUCAUGGUGUUGCACUUGGUCGUUCACAUUAAAAGUGACAGAAAUAGUUGAGUUAAUAAUGAAAGAAGAGAGUUUAGAGAAGUUCACACCCCGGUUUAUUUCUCACCUCAGUGUUCAAUCUUUGAUGUCGGAAAGUUACUGAAAUUGACGUACACAGCACACACACUCACACACACACUCGCACUCACACACACACCCUCUAAUAUGACAUGGAAAGGUAUGGGGGGGAGGCAGUUUCCGAAGCUAUUUGACCAUCUGACAAGGUUCUGAGGAAGUCUACUGCUGCCCUAGUCUUUUUUUAACUGAAGUGUCCCAUUCUGUAUAUAUCUUAGUCAAAAUUAUUUAAAAUAAUAUCAAUUUGAGCAGAUGAUAUCUUUAUGCAAACAAAAUCAUAUAUCAUUUUCAAGAUUAUUAAAACAUGCAAAAUAUCAAUAAGGGUAACUGCCUCAAACACCCUUAUUGAUCGGGCUAUACUAUAAGUACUAAAACAACUACAGGAGGGUAUGUCUGAUAAAAGAGUCCUGGUGAAAUAGAAAGCGCAAAUCUGGUGAUCCAAGAAUGUUAGAAGUCAAGAAUUAACUGCAACAAAUAUUGUUUGUGAACAAGCUUGUAUUUACCAUCGCUGCAUGUCUGAUCAAUGUUUUCUCAGGGACUGCAACAUGGCACAGUAUUAACAGAUCGCCUCAGCGGGGGAAAAGAAAUGCUACUGUCCGAAAUGUGUUCCACUCGUUUCUAUUCAUAAUGUGUGUGUCAGCUGCAGUGUUUUUGAGCUUCAGUAACAUUCCAGCAGUCAUGCAGUUUGUCAAUGUUUUGUAACAAAGCUCUCGUAUCUGUGUUCCUGGUAACUUGACGUUCAUUGGGAGGUUAAAGAGCUGAAACCUUUCAUAUCUGCAAUGCACAGCACGGGACUGCCUGAGCUUUUGCUGCCUGCACAUGUUUGCCUUAUAAUGUAUUGCUUUCUGUAUGUUUUCCUCUUGAAGUAUUUUUAUAUUUUGAAGGGAGGGGGGGAGGGGGGGUUCUCCUCAAGUGAGGAAUAUUUGUCAAAGGAAGGAAAGCUUUAAUUCCUGUCUGAAAUAAAUAUAUGUCAUUGCUUAAGUUCAGUGUUAAGAUUGCAGUGAUUUUGUUGGAUUUUGGAAAAAGAAACAUCCAUGCAAGUAUUUCCACAAGCACCCUCCUGCCAUGUUUCAUCUACAUGUUACUUAAUAUCUGUUGUUCAGCCCACACUGGCUCUCACUGGGAAUCCCAAUGCAAAUAACAGGGAGUUUUAAGUCCCCAACAUGCCAACCCGCAGUGCGUGUGAUGGGAGAAUGACAACAAGAACAGCAAACAUCCUUGGGCAAGCAACACGACCAGCAGACAUGGACUUCUGCGGCACCUGGAAAGUUUAUUCUGAGGAAAACCUUGAGGCGUUCUUAAAAGUAAUGGAUGCACCUGAAAUGAUUAUCAAAAUGCGCAAGGAUGUCAAACCGGUGUUCGUGAUUGAGCAGAACGGCGAAGACUUCACCUGCACAAUGAAGACUCCCAUCUGCACCAAAGUCCACUCGUUCACCAUCGGAAAGGAGUCCCAGAUGACUGCUGUGGAUGGCAAGAAGUUUAAGUGCAUUGUCAGAGAGGAGAACGGGAAGAUGAUUGCUGUGACUGAAAGGUUCACAUCUGUCCGAGAGAUCCAAGGGGACGACAUGGUGGAGGUCAGUGGCUUUCAAUCUUUUAGAAAAAAUAUAAGGAAGGCAGUCUGUUACACCUUUUGUAUAAAAGAGUCCAUUUUUAGUUGCAGACUUGAAGUCAUUCGUUCAAUUGUGUAAACCUGUUUCAGUCCCUGCAACCACUUAUGGCUUGUGGUUUUGGAUCUUUCCCGUUAAAAAAAUUAAAAAAGGUUUUAUCAUCCUAGUAUUGAAGCAGUGGGCAGCUAUAAUACAUCGCCCUGGAAGCAGUUUUGGGGAUCCGGUACCUUGCUUGAGGACUGCUAUUAUUUUCUUGGCAAUAAAUAAAAGCAUCCUCAGUAGCCUGUACCUCUGAUCUUUGCCAUUUAUCAUUUGAAGUACAAAUCCUCUCAAAAAUGACAUUGGAUCUAUAGGGACAUCCGCUUCUAUGAUUUUGUCAAUUUCUUCUUAACACGUUUCCAUAACCCUUAAAUUAUUGGAGUGAGUUAUUAUUUAUGU